UUCCAAAGUGUUGAGUUCAGUUCAGGGCAGAUUCUUUGUCCUGUUAAUUCAACUUUGGGACAUUGAAACACAGGCUUGGGGAGAUGAUGGAUAGAAAGCAUUGCUCUAUUCAUUUUCCUCCCAGCCUACAAAA